GAACAGUAAAUAGAUGGCAUAUCAGUAAAUACAGGUACACCUCUCCUCCACGUCUGAUAAGUGAUUCAAGCAAACCCUAAACCUACUGCACCUCCACACACACCGCCGAUUACAUGGAGAGAGAACGAUGAGAGAGAUCAGAAAGGGGAGAGAGAACGGUGUGUGUUGGAACGGCGGCGUUGCCUAUCACUGGUGGUGUGGUGGUGACUAGAGAAAUUAUCAGUGUGUGGUGGUGCCGGAUUCACGGUGCGGUUCCGGUGGUGACGGAAUCAGGGUGCGGUUCCGGUGGUGAUUAGCGGCGUAGAGAAGAUGCUAGGGUUCCGGUGAAGGUCGGGCAAAAUUACGGUACCACGGGUGUCGGGAUCAACAUGAACAGACGACACCACGGGUGUCGGGAUCUCUGCCGGUGAGAGAUGUGAAAGUUUUAGGGUUCCGACGAGUCAGCUUAGCUCCGGUGAGAACCUGCUUUCCUGAACCAGGGGAACGCAUCCGGCAAGCACAAUAGGUUGGCAAGCACAAUAGGUUGUGGUGCAUCUAGAGGGCGGUGUUCAUAUCAAUCGGUGGUGUUCGAUUGUCUAUUAGGGCAGUGCAUUUGUCAUCAACAAGGAGUCAACUGAUUGGAGUUUGACUGAAUCUGAGUUUUCGACAGUACUUUAUGCUGGAAGGUUGUUUUCGCUGUGUCAUUCAAUGGAUACUUCUUGCCAAGUUUUUAGGUAACUUUAACUUCCUUAUUUUCUUCUUGCUUUUAUUGAUUUGAAGAUUCCAUGCUUCUGAUCCUUAUUUUCUUCUUAGGUGUAUUGUUAUAAUGGCACCUUGAUUUCCACAUAAAGUAAAAGAAUAAAGUAUCCAUAAUUUUUUUUCUAUAAUUCUUUUAAACGAUUUCAUGUGAAAUCUACAAAGAGUCUUGAAAAGUAACUGUGCUUCAAUCAAAAAUAUAUUAUAUUAGAAGGUUAUAUGUAUAUGCAAACCUAAGUAGUUGAUGAUACUCGAGUAAAGCAUUAUUGUAUAAUGUGUUUAUAGUAAGAAAAGUCUUUGGUAGUUGAUCAUGAACUUUAGAAGAGUGUUGUUCUUUCAAUGUAACGAAAAAGUAUAUGGAUAUUGCAUAAGAUAGAAAAGAGCUUUUACUAGAGUUACAUGUCCUGAAAAGACAUUAAGGUAUGAUUUACACUUAUGAGGGGGUGAUUGUUGAUAAUCAUAUUGUUACCGAGCCGAUUACUUUACUAAAAUCGACAGAAGAGGAGGGAUGGUCAUCGGGCGGUAUGAUGGUGAGUUUGCGGGUUCUGGCGAGGCAGUGAUUGACCAAGAUAAUUUGAAAACUUUCUGUGGUCAUAAAGUAUAGAUGUGGAACUCCAGGAACUGCCAAGAAGAAAGGAAUAACAUGACCAGGAACAUACAUUCAAGAACUGAAGUGUUCAUAGUAAUUAAGAUAGUCGUAGAGUAUUAUUGGCGACAUAUCAUGUGAUUACACCAAGAAUGAUUUGGUUUAGCAUGAUCGUGUUAUGAGUUGUGAUGUCAAACGUACACACCAAGAAUGAUUAAGUUUAGCAUCAUCGUGUUAUGAGUUGUGAUGUAAAGCGUACACACUAAGAAUGAUUGAUCCGGUUUAGCCAAGAAUGAUUUGGUUGAGUGCGUCGUAACGCGGCGCUGCGCAUAAAA